rnacentral:siRNA from 1 species
UAGCGGCACCUCUGACCUC